rnacentral:tRNA from 2 species
GGACAGGCGGGUGAGUGGUUGAAACCAGCUGGUUGCUAACUAGCCUUACGAGUAACAUCGUAACGAGGGUUCGAAUCCCUCCCUGUCCGCCA